UACGUAGGGUGCGAGCGUUGUCCGGAAUUAUUGGGCGUAAAGAGCUCGUAGGCGGUCUGUUGCGUCGGUCGUGAAAACUUGGGGCUUAACCCUGAGCUUGCGGUCGAUACGGGCAUGACUGGAGUUCGGGAGGGGAGACUGGAAUUCCUGGUGUAGCGGUGAAAUGCGCAGAUAUCAGGAGGAACACCAGUGGCGAAGGCGGGUCUCUGGGCCGAUACUGACGCUGAGGCACGAAAGCGUGGGGAGCGAACAGG
rnacentral:rRNA from 1 species